GAACCCCUGUUAAGGAAAAUUAACAAAGUGUGGUUAUUAAAGAAGAACUGAGUUGGGAGUCAGACCUGGAGGCCCGCACCCGUGGUUAAGACAUUAUACCACCUUGAGUCUGGCCUGUUGACUGAGGAUUCUUUUCAAUAUACCCCAUCAUGGUUGAACUCAAAAAUCAUUGCUUAUUUAAAAUCUACAACUGCUGACGUUUUGUAACGUUCGCAUUCCAGAUACAACAGAGAAAUGCAUAAUGUCCAGUCAAUUUAUUAAAGUUCCAAAGUCGGUCGCGCGCAGUGGCUCACGCCUGUAAUCUCAACACUUCGGGAGGCCGAGGCGUGUGGAUCACGAGGAGUGAGGACACAGCGAAAGUGAGACAAGGAAAAGAGAACAAAAUAAAACAGGAAAGACAGAAAAGCCAAUACCACACGUGUUAAGAGUUUCAAGGAAAAUAUGUUUGGAGUUCCUGGCAUAGAGAAUGUCACAAAGACAUGUUUUCAAUAGUAGUGCUAUCCCGAGCGCAGAGAAGACCCAAAGAAAGCCCAAGUGGCUGCUGGAACAAAAUCAGACACCGUGCCACCUGUCCACACUCCUUGGCUCUGCCAUCAUGCUGAAGAUCGCUUUAAAGGACUGGCUUCCCUCCCCCCAAAAUUAAAAGAGCACAGACUGAGAAACUGAAUGUGGGAGACAGCAGUGGAUUAUGCUGUUCUCAGGGGUCACCUCAGGUUUGGAAGCAUUCUUUCAAAUUAACCCAUCUCAGGCCAUCUGCAGAGAAGAAAGGUGGUACCUAACUUUUUUUCUUGUCGGCAUUUGGUAGGGGUGUUUUAUUGACCAAAUAUGUUCCCACAACCUCGUUUUUUGUGACUAACUAAAUAUAGUAGAGUUUUAAAUUUUAUCAUCAAAAUCUAUAGACAAUUUUUGAUGAAAAUAGACUCCAUCUCUAUGUCCUGCUUUUCUUCUUCUUAUUAAUUACAUUGCUGUAUAAAAGAACAAGACUUCAGCAUCAAGAAUAUCUUGUCUCUUGGCAUUGAAUUUAUACAAGGUGCUCUUUCUUUAAUGCUGUCUCAAAGGACAUAUUUUUACUCAUUAAAAAGGAAGAUCGGAAUCUAGUUGUAUGCACUGCUCCAACAUAUUAAUAAUUAAAAUUAGGAGGUAAAUGUGGUCAAAGCUAUAGAAAGACUGAGAUGUCAUUUACAUCGAUUACUCUAUAGCACUCUACAAACAGAAAUUGUUAAAUAAUAGUUUAUAUAAAUAUUUUGUAGCAUUUCAAAUAUUUGAGUGCUUGAAGUUUCUCCUCUUUUAUAGUUCAGAUUAUCAAUUUGAAGACUUACUCCGCUAGUUAAUAUGUUUUUAGUCUCGUUUGAGUAUUAUAUAAAAGCAAUUUUCAGUUAAAUGUGUUCCGCUUACAUAAAACGUUACAAAUUAUUGAGGAUUUAAUUACUUAUUCAUGUUCCUGUAAUGUCUUUAGAAGAUUUUCUUAUUAUUACCUAUCAAUAUAUGUAUGCUUUGUCAAAGAAAAAUCAAACAUAUAUAUCAUUGAAAUUGAAACUUUUUAAAAGUACUUAUUAAUUCUAUUGAAAAACCACAUCCAUAGGAACAAUUACAAUAUAAUAUUGUGAACAUGUAAACAUAUACCCUAUGUCUAUUUUAUGUAUAAGCAUGUAUGAUUAAAAAUAUAGUGAAGAAUUUUUAAACCUAGUAUUAUAAAGUAAAAAUUAGUUAACUUCCGAUGAUUAUUUGUUAAUUAAGAUAAAAUUAUUUUGAUUUGGGUGAUUUUAAAUAAAGAAAAAUAUUAAAUUACAUGACAAAAAUUCUUUAUAAAAUGUUUAUGAUUUUUACAUUGGUUUUAUCACUUUUCCCACUAUUUUAUUUUAAGAUGACCUGCCUUGUUUAAAACACUGUAUUCAUCUUAGUUAAAUUAGAUUCCAUUUGUAAAAUAAUUAACAAAUGAUUUGCUCUAUUGUACAGUGCGGUUAUAAACUGAGUCAGUAUCUCAAGAUUUGAUCCCCAUUAUCAUCAUCUGUGGCCCUAUUUGUUUUAUAAAUGUAUUGUCUUUUUCCAUGCCUGUCACAUCUCUAUUGCUCUUUCAUUUUUCUCUUUGUCCCUUAUAGGGAGCAUUGCCUAUCUCUAGAUUAAGCAAAAGUUGCAUCAUAAAAAAGCACAAUAACCUGCUCAAUCUUUCUCACACAGAGAAAUGUUUGUUAAGUAAUUAAAGUGUAGAUGAUGAUACAAAGAGCUUGAUUAAAUUAGAUGCCAAAGUACCCUUGUGAUUCAGAAUAUGAAUGGUAUUUAAUUUCUUUGAAAUCAUUAAUUGCUGAGUGAGAUUAAUUAAUGCCAAUAUUCCAGAAGAUGUUCCAGUCAGUAAAAUGUAUACAACGUGCAAAAGAUUCAGAACUCUGAAGGGCAACAUUAUUCUAUAAUUAAGAAUUAAGAAUUAAUUCACAUUAAUUACUGGGGAGAAAUACUUUUUAAGAAUUAAUGACUGAGAAAAUGUUUUUAUUUUUUAUUUAGAAAAUUAUUUUGUGCAUGAGCAUUACCGCAAGUUUUGCAAGAAACAUAAAUUUAAAGAAACAAUUAUGUGCACAAGAUGAAUUUAAUAACAUCUUGAUAUAUUCCACGAUUGCGGUUUUAUUUGGUAAAUCUUUCAAGGCACACCAUUUAAAGAGAAUAAAUGAGUCUUGGAAAUCUUGUAGGUAAGGGUAAAUAUUAGGAUGCAUCCAGUUACAUUUACACACACAUACAGUUACAUUUACACACACAUACACGCAUACAGACUGAGUCACGUGUGUGUAUAUAUAUAUAUGAAUUUACCAAUUGAUGUUAACUAAUAUUUAUAAGAGCCAGUUGGAUUGAUAUAUAUUGUUGAACCUGAAAAAUAUUUAUUAUAUACAUGUUUAAAAUACAGAAAUAAAUAGCAAUUGCACUAGGCAUUUGAAACUGUACUAAAAUAUAAGCUGUGAACAUUUUGUGAUCAUUACAAAUUCUUACACUGAAUAAAUAUUUUUAUUUUUACAAUAUUAA
rnacentral:lncRNA from 1 species